UACGUAGGGUGCGAGCGUUGUCCGGAAUUAUUGGGCGUAAAGAGCUCGUAGGCGGUUUGUCACGUCGGAUGUGAAACCCCGGGGCUUAACUCCGGGCCUGCAUUCGAUACGGGCUGACUAGAGUUCGGCAGGGGAGACUGGAAUCCCUGGUGUAGCGGUGAAAUGCGCAGAUAUCAGGAGGAACACCGGUGGCGAAGGCGGGUCUCUGGGCCGAUACUGACGCUGAGGAGCGAAAGCGUGGGGAGCGAACAGG
rnacentral:rRNA from 1 species